rnacentral:rRNA from 1 species
UUAAUAUUCCUGUACUUGGUGUUACUGCGAAGGGGGGACGGAGAAGGCUAUGUUGGCCGGGCGACGGUUGUCCCGGUUUAAGCGUGUAGGCUGGUUUUCCAGGCAAAUCCGGAAAACCAAGGCUGAGGCGUGAUGACGAGGCACUACGGUGCUGAAGCGACAAAUGCCCUGCUUCCAGGAAAAGCCUCUAAGCAUCAGGUAACAUCAAAUCGUACCCCAAACCGACACAGGUGGUCAGGUAGAGAAUACCAAGGCGCUUGAGAGAACUCGGGUGAAGGAACUAGGCAAAAUGGUGCCGUAACUUCGGGAGAAGGCACGCUGAUAUGUAGGUGAAGCGACUUGCUCGUGGAGCUGAAAUCAGUCGAAGAUACCAGCUGGCUGCAACUGUUUAUUAAAAACACAGCACUGUGCAAACACGAAAGUGGACGUAUACGGUGUGACGCCUGCCCGGUGCCGGAAGGUUAAUUGAUGGGGUUAGCGGUAACGCGAAGCUCUUGAUCGAAGCCCCGGUAAACGGCGGCCGUAACUAUAACGGUCCUAAGGUAGCGAAAUUCCUUGUCGGGUAAGUUCCGACCUGCACGAAUGGCGUAAUGAUGGCCAGGCUGUCUCCACCCGAGACUCAGUGAAAUUGAACUCGCUGUGAAGAUGCAGUGUACCCGCGGCAAGACGGAAAGACCCCGUGAACCUUUACUAUAGCUUGACACUGAACAUUGAGCCUUGAUGUGUAGGAUAGGUGGGAGGCUUUGAAGUGUGGACGCCAGUCUGCAUGGAGCCGACCUUGAAAUACCACCCUUUAAUGUUUGAUGUUCUAACGUUGGCCCGUAAUCCGGGUUGCGGACAGUGUCUGGUGGGUAGUUUGACUGGGGCGGUCUCCUCCUAAAGAGUAACGGAGGAGCACGAAGGUUGGCUAAUCCUGGUCGGACAUCAGGAGGUUAGUGCAAUGGCAUAAGCCAGCUUGACUGCGAGCGUGACGGCGCGAGCAGGUGCGAAAGCAGGUCAUAGUGAUCCGGUGGUUCUGAAUGGAAGGGCCAUCGCUCAACGGAUAAAAGGUACUCCGGGGAUAACAGGCUGAUACCGCCCAAGAGUUCAUAUCGACGGCGGUGUUUGGCACCUCGAUGUCGGCUCAUCACAUCCUGGGGCUGAAGUAGGUCCCAAGGGUAUGGCUGUUCGCCAUUUAAAGUGGUACGCGAGCUGGGUUUAGAACGUCGUGAGACAGUUCGGUCCCUAUCUGCCGUGGGCGCUGGAGAACUGAGGGGGGCUGCUCCUAGUACGAGAGGACCGGAGUGGACGCAUCACUGGUGUUCGGGUUGUCAUGCCAAUGGCACUGCCCGGUAGCUAAAUGCGGAAGAGAUAAGUGCUGAAAGCAUCUAAGCACGAAACUUGCCCCGAGAUGAGUUCUCCCUGAGACUUAGAGUCUCCUGAAGGAACGUUGAAGACGACGACGUUGAUAGGCCGGGUGUGUAAGCGCAGCGAUGCGUUGAGCUAACCGGUACUAAUGAACCGUGAGGCUUAACCUUACAACGCCGAAG